CCCAAUGCAAGUUCUGGCUGUGGGCAAUUGGGAUAAAAGUUCAUCCUAUAGCCAGCUUCCAGCUCUUCAUCCCCACCAAGACUCUCAAGAAUUCUUCUCUAGUCCCAUGUCCUCUGAGAAUAUUGACAGCAAUGCUUCACACAGCUCCAUCAUCUUCUCCCCAUAUUCACUGGUAACAGUCCUGUCCAAGCUUCAGGUUGGUGAGGCCA